rnacentral:rRNA from 1 species
UGGGGAAUUUUGGACAAUGGGGGAAACCCUGAUCCAGCCAUCCCGCGUGUGCGAUGAAGGCCUUCGGGUUGUAAAGCACUUUUGGCAGGAAAGAAACGUCGUGGGUUAAUACCCCGCAAACUGACGGUACCUGCAGAAUAAGCACCGGCUAACUACGUGCCAGCAGCCGCGGUAAUACGUAGGGUGCAAGCGUUAAUCGGAAUUACUGGGCGUAAAGCGUGCGCAGGCGGUUCGGAAAAGAAAGAUGUGAAAUCCCNGAGCUUAACUUUGGAACUGCAUUUUUAAACUACCGGGCUAGAGUGUGUCAGAGGGAGGUGGAAUUCCGCGUGUAGCAGUGAAAUGCGUAGNUAUGCGGAGGAACACCGAUGGCGAAGGNAGCCUCCUGGGAUAACACUGACGCUCAUGCACGAAAGCGUGGGGAGCAAACAGGAUUAGAUA